AGUACGAGAGGACCGGAGUGGACGCAUCACUGGUAGUACGAGAGGACCGGAGUGGACGCAUCACUGGUGUUCGGGUUGUCAUGCCAAUGGCACUGCCCGGUAGCUAAAUGCGGAAGAGAUAAGUGCUGAAAGCAUCUAAGCACGAAACUUGCCCCGAGAUGAGUUCUCCCUGAGACUUUAAGUCUCCUGAAGGAACGUUGAAGACGACGACGUUGAUAGGUCGGGUGUGUAAGCGCAGCGAUGCGUUGAGCUAACCGAUACUAAUGAACCGUGAGGCUUAACCUU
rnacentral:rRNA from 1 species